UUUUGCUCCCAUCAAGCCAAACAGAACCAAGUACUGUACUGUGUGUGAUGUUCGUUCACUUUUCAAGUCAGCUCCUGGCUCAGUUUAGCCCUCUUCUGUGUUUUUUGAAGUGCUCACUAUAAAAAUUUCUAGCACCUCUACAUUUUUUUCGUUUUUACAAUUUGGCAGCUUCUACAUUUCCUUACACCCCUAUCAUCAAACACCUUCACUUUCUUUGAAAUUAAAGUACUAUAUUUGCUAUAUUAUUUCCUCGAUUGGGGAUUGUUUAAAACUUUUGUUAAACUUUGCAAUGAUUUUUGUUAGGAUCGUUAGUAUUUUGUUAGUUGCACUGGUUGUAAGAGCUAUACACCAACCCUAUUUUCCCCCAGUUUGCCUAAUAAUUUUUCUAAACCACUUUGCAAAAUGAAAGGAAUAAUGUAUAUACUAUAUUAAAACAAUAAAACACCAGAAUUCUGGAAUAAAUGCCUAGAGGGUUUCAGGGCAACACUAUCCAUUUGCUUUUAUUAAGCACCCAUUAUUCUUAAAGGUUCAGCACUAUUAUAUAAGAGUGAUGGGCAUGAAAAUAGAGGAAAUAAUAAAAGUGUUAAAAAUGCUCCCAGUACUGAAAUACUGUUAGCAUAAUGAAAUUUUCUGAAAAAAAUCCAAGUGAUUAACAUAAACUGUGAUCCAGCUUCUGCAUCAGGUUUUCUCUAGUCUCCAUCUCAACCCUUGACAAGCCCACAUUCACAGCUGGUCCAGAGACCAGCCCUCCAUCAUUCCUGGGCCCUGGUAAUUGUUCUUUG
rnacentral:lncRNA from 1 species